GAUGAAGAACGCAGCUAAAUGCGAUACGUAAUGUGAAUUGCAGAAUUCAGUGAAUCAUCGAAUCUUUGAACGCAUAUUGCGCUCUCUGGUAUUCCGGAGAGCAUGCUUGUUUGAGUAUCAGUAAACACCUCAACUUCCAUAUCUUUUUUGAAAUGGGAGUUGGACUUGAGUGAUCCCAACGCUUUUCCUCACCGAAAAGUGGCGGGUUACUUGAAAUGCAGGUGCAGCUGGACUUUUCUCUGAGCUAUAAGCAUAUCUAUUUAGUCUGCCUAAAAAACAGAUUAUUACCUUUGCUGCAGCUAACAUAAAGGAGAUUAGUUCUUGUGCUGACUGAUGCAGGAUUCACAAAGACAGGCUUCGGCCGACUUUGUAAACUCGAUCUCAAAUCAAGUAAGACUACCCGCUGAACUUAAGCAUAUCAAUAAGCGGAGGA
rnacentral:misc_RNA from 1 species